AAAACGGCCCUUUUCAGGGCCACCACAUCUAAACGAUGCCACGCAGU
rfam:Macrostomum lignano uti_cns_0011994, whole genome shotgun sequence.